AGUGAACGCUGGCGGUAGGCCUAACACAUGCAAGUCGAACGGCAGCACAGUAAGAGCUUGCUCUUACGGGUGGCGAGUGGCGGACGGGUGAGGAAUACAUCGGAAUCUACUUUUUCGUGGGGGAUAACGUAGGGAAACUUACGCUAAUACCGCAUACGACCUACGGGUGAAAGCAUGGGAUCUUCGGACCUUGCGCGAUUGAAUGAGCCGAUGUCGGAUUAGCUAGUUGGCGGGGUAAAGGCCCACCAAGGCGACGAUCCGUAGCUGGUCUGAGAGGAUGAUCAGCCACACUAGAACUGAGACGCGGUCCAGACUCCUACGGGAGGCAGCAGUGGGGAAUAUUGGACAGUGGGCGCAAGCCUGAUCCAGCCAUACCGCGUGGGUGAAGAAGGCCUUCGGGUUGUAAAGCCCUUUUGUUGGGAAAGAAAAGCAGCAGGUUAAUACCCCGCUAUUCUGACGGUACCCAAAGAAUAAGCACCGGCUAACUUCGUG
rnacentral:rRNA from 1 species